rnacentral:lncRNA from 1 species
CGCCUAAAACCAUCCAACGCUAGCCUCUCACACCUACGGACCGGGGCAUCCAUGCCCCUCCUCUUCACGUGUUAGAACCAUCUCAAUAGUGCUUCCCACAUCUUGCAGUCCACUGAAGUCACACCAACCUUCUCCCGGAUAGUCUCAUUCCGAACUCUAUCCCCUCUAGUCAGCCCCCACAUCCAGCGCAACAUCCGCAUUUCUGCCACCUUCAUUUUUUGGAUGUGGGAGUUCUUAACUGGCCAACACUCCGCUCCAUACAACAAGGCCGGACGGACUACCACCC